rnacentral:tRNA from 1 species
GAGGUAUUAGUAAAACAAUUACAUAGUCUUGUCAAGACUAAAUUGCAGGUAAAACUCCUGUAUACCUCA